rnacentral:lncRNA from 1 species
UCUGCUGAAUGCAUCUCCAUGUGGGAAAGUGGCUCGGUAUGCUCAUCAGUAGAGGCAACAGGCUCAUUGGACAUAACCUUGGUAUGCUCAUCUCCUCUUGGCUCAUCAUAUCUCCCAUCAUAUUUCCUCAUGCAAUACCCAACCUUAUUAGAGAGUCCUUGUGGAAGAAGGACUCCUCCCAAUCCUUAUGCCACAACCCAUCCCACACGCCAUAUC